ensembl:lncRNA
CACGGCACCAUCCCGAGGACCUAAGUAGUACAAAUCGAGGCACUACUGUAGAGGUUGUGGUUCUGUGCUAAUGACUGGAAGGUUGUGAGUUUAAAUCCCAGGACUCCAAGAGACCCACAAGUUCUAUCCUUUGAUGGUUCAGCCAAAUGCUCUGAUUAUAAAUGACAAAAUGGAGCCUUGGUGUGUUUUCCCCCACAGUGCAGUUCUUUAGGCAGGGGGAGGAGUCUCCAGUGUCGGCACUUCGUAAUGACCAGAGGUAGGAACUAAAGUUGUGAGUGUGGAAAUGAAGAAACCUCGGCCCACACAUGCCUUUGGAGCGAUGAGCGAUAGAAUCGAGAAAAUCCGAAUGCAUAGGCCGCUUUGCUGAAUGCAGGUAAGGAGUUCAAUAAAAGUGGAUUUUAUUAUCA